CCUUCUCAAACCCUCGGGUUUGGUAAUGAGUGAUACUCGGUCGUAAGACAAGGUUAACUUGAAAAUGCUGGCCAUGGGCGGAACUUGCGCGGACUGCGGUCUGAGCUAGUUUCUACACUGCGUAUUAGGUUUCGACCAGAUCGUGGAGUGGAGCUGGCGCUUGAAGAACGUACGACAAACAAGGCCUUCCAGGCGAAUAGUAUUCCCAAA